CCCGAAUGGGGAAACCCAGUGUGAUUCGUCACACUAUCAUUAACUGAAUCCAUAGGUUAAUGAGGCGAACCGGGGGAACUGAAACAUCUAAGUACCCCGAGGAAAAGAAAUCAACCGAGAUUCCCCCAGUAGCGGCGAGCGAACGGGGAGGAGCCCAGAGCCUGAAUCAGCAUGUGUGUUAGUGGAAGCGUCUGGAAAGGCGCGCGAUACAGGGUGACAGCCCCGUACACAAAAGCGCAUGUGCUGUGAGCUCGAUGAGUAGGGCGGGACACGUGGUAUCCUGUCUGAAUAUGGGGGGACCAUCCUCCAAGGCUAAAUACUCCUGACUGACCGAUAGUGAACCAGUACCGUGAGGGAAAGGCGAAAAGAACCCCGGCGAGGGGAGUGAAAAAGAACCUGAAACCGUGUACGUACAAGCAGUGGGAGCACCCUUUGGGUGUGACUGCGUACCUUUUGUAUAAUGGGUCAGCGACUUAUAUUCUGUAGCAAGGUUAACCGAAUAGGGGAGCCGGAGGGAAACCGAGUCUUAAC
rnacentral:rRNA from 1 species